rnacentral:rRNA from 1 species
GAUGAACGCUGGCGGCGUGCCUAAUACAUGCAAGUCGAGCGAACGGACGAGAAGCUUGCUUCUCUGAUGUUAGCGGCGGACGGGUGAGUAACACGUGGAUAACCUACCUAUAAGACUGGGAUAACUUCGGGAAACCGGAGCUAAUACCGGAUAAUAUUUUGAACCGCAUGGUUCAAAAGUGAAAGACGGUCUUGCUGUCACUUAUAGAUGGAUCCGCGCUGCAUUAGCUAGUUGGUAAGGUAACGGCUUACCAAGGCAACGAUGCAUAGCCGACCUGAGAGGGUGAUCGGCCACACUGGAACUGAGCAACGGUCCAGACUCCUCCGGGAGGAACCAGUAGGGAAUCUUCCGCAAUGGGCGAAAGCCUGACGGAGCACCGCCGCGUGAGUAAUGAAGGUCUUCGGAUCGUAAAACCCUGUUAUUAGGGAAGAACAUAUGUGUAAGUAACUGUGCACAUCUUGACGGUACCUAAUCAGAAAGCCACGGCUAACUACGUG